AAAGAGACACGUCCAUUGUUUAACUGCAUCAUCUACACAAACCAUUGUGCUUGGACCCCUUAUGAUCACCUGGACUUAAACCACAUUGUUUCAGUUACCUUCUGUGUCUUUGGCCACAACGCUUCAGUGACAGGAAUGUGAAAUAGCAAACAGGGGAACAAAUAAAAGGCAUGACUUUAUUUGCAUCCAGCUAGCCAACUCUAUUACAGGUGUUCCACAGCCAAGACUCUUAUUAGAAUAGAAAAUAGCAAGGGUUCGAAUAAAUAGUUUAUUAAUCAUUUAAUUUCACUUUCUUAAUGAAUAUUGUUCUGUGUAUGUGAUUUCAAAGUCUUGAUGCUUCGGAUUAACCCGUUAAUUGCCGUAUCCCUUAAAACCUGAGUGCCAGAGGAUUACUGUAAAUGCAUGUGCCCGCUGGGCACAGUUUACCUGAUGCCACCGGGGUGGCGUUUGCGCUGAUGGCUUGAGCCCGCCAUCGCUGCUUGCAGCUAUAUUUACUUAUUAUUAUUAUUAUUUUUAUUUUUUUUUUAACCUUCCGGGGGUUUUUGGAGCCUUAACAUACUCAAAAACUCUUGAAAAUUGGCACACACAUUGGAACCUGCGGCCAUCAGGACGCCGCAGAGUCUGGGACCCGGGCGUGGCACAGGGGCUCUACAGCGCCCCCUGGAACACAGUCAGAAAUCUUGAACCAUAGCUCACACAUACUUGCAUGUAUUUAUAUGAAACUCAGUAAACUUAUAGAUCUCAUUGAGCCGAACAACUUUCGCGCUCUAUGUCAUAGGCUCCGCCCAACAGGAAGUGAGCUAUUCAGGGCUGUUUAAAAAGCAUGCUCUGGAAUUUGAUAUACUCCUCUGAGGUCUUUCAACCCGUUUCUCCUCGAAACUCAGUGAACAUGAUCUCAAGACAUUGGGGAUGCAAAAAUUGCCAGGGGAUUUUUUUGAUAUCCCGAACGGUUUGUCCGUGGCGAGGCGUUGAAAUUAGGGCAAAAAAAUGAGAAACAGGAAAUGUCUAAUAACAUCCACAUACAUCUUUCUGAUUUUAGAUCAAACUUCAUCGGAUUGUUCGAUGUAUGAUGCCGAUCGCAUAGAUGUGACUAUUAGGAGUCAAAGUUAUAGCGCCACCAACUGGCAGCAGGAAGUGUGUCAUUUUCAAAAUGCUUUGAAUUCAGCAUCUUAUUUUUACUCGAUUUGCUUCAAACUUCAUCAGUUUGUUCGUUGUAUGAUGCCGAUCGCAUAUAUGUGACUAUUAGGAGUCA
ensembl:lncRNA